ensembl:lncRNA
CAUCUAAAUGUCGAGCCACAGACAAUAAGGAGCCAGCCUCUGCUCCUAUUAACCCAAAGUGCUGGAAGGAUUGCAGGGCAGAAAAAUUACUUUGCCUGGUAAAAAUGUAAAUGUCACUUUACAGAGGACAACUACAAUUUGACAGAAAAUCCACUACCUCCUCCAAACACUUUGUGAGCUCUUUUGGAUGCCAUGCCACAACUUAUUGAGUGAGCAAGGUGGAACACAACUGCUAUUUUUCCAGACCCAUCUACUCAAUCUCCAUCUGCAGUCCAUUUAUCUGUCACUGGAUGGACCUGUCACUGCCACAAGGGCUCCCAUUUUAAAAAAGCAUCAAAAACAGUGAAAGGCAGCCAAGACCUCCUUCCUUUCUCCUCACCAGACAAAUUCAGAUCUGUAAGAUAUUGGCAUGAAUCCCAUUCUCUAUGAUCCCCUGGCUAAAUCCCAACCAAAGUGGUGUCAGACUGGGAGUUCCCUGGGCUCCUCUAAAUGAAAAUUAUUUUCUGCAACUGAAAUUGAGAUCCCAUUAUCCCAUGCUGGAUCACUUCCAAGUAGCACAGAAGCCUUCAGCCUGUUUUCUCACCCACUAGGUACCAGCUCCUACCAAGUAAGUCAAUACCCUCUCCUGUUGUCCUGCAGCAGUGCUGAGGAAGAGCUUCAGGGACAUCUCAGAGUUUGCAAAGCUCCCAGGGGGAAGAAGCCUGUGAUUAUUCCUGUGCCAUCAAAACCAGACUUUCAGGAGAAGAGCUGAGAGACAGAAAUCCACACUGAAGUCCUGGAACAAGCCCUGACUACAAAGCUCUGUAGGCUUCUUUUCCACAAUGUCUCUAUGGCUUUCUGCCCCAUUCCCAGCCUGGUUGUUCUGUGUUGGCACAGACCCUGUGAGAAACAAAAACCAGAAUUCUUCUGAGAUAUAGGAAAUGCUUUUUAUCAGAGCUCUACCCAAUCCAUCCAUUGGUCAGUGUCUCCCACUGUCUGCCAGACUGUUUUAAUUCCUUUUCUGUGAACAUUUCCUGCCUUCACCACCCUGGAAGUUCCUCCUUAGGUCAGGUGGAAGGCAUGGGGUAGUGUGUGAAUUAGUUAACUCCCCUGCUGAGGAUGCCAAGCUUCAUCAGCCAUACCAGGGUUGCAAAAAAAUAACAUUCCAGGUAUUUUGCACUCCAGGGCACAGAGGGCUCUCAGAGAAACUCAUAGUACUGUGGAAAUAAUCACAGAGAAACAACCAGGAGAGCAAAACUGAAAAAGAGAUAUAAAAAGGAAAGCAGAAAAAUGCACACAUUUGAGGGCAGGGAAAGCACAAAGAGCAAUGUGGAGAUGCAGAGCAGCAGAAAGUGAGAAGAUAAAAUUAUAUUCACAGAGACCUGGCUAUAGGGAAAUAAAAGGGGAGGGAGCCAUACAGAGGGGAGAGCACAGAUGCAAGGAAGGAGAAUACAGGGCAUGGAAGGGAAGCAGGGAGUCAGACAGGGGGAAAGGGAGGGAUCUGGAGAGAUUGCCUGAUGUCAAAUCUGAUAGAAAAGAGGAUUUAUCUGCAAAAAUAACCCAGAUCUAAGCCACAGCUUCAGAGCAGCUGCGCGCACAGCCACAGCACUAUUUGCUCUUAAGCAAGAGAAAAAAUGUGCUGGCGCAGGCUGCGAGGCAAAGCGGGGUCGCGCUGCGCCAAGAGGCUGCCCAUCCCAGGCUGCCCAUCCCAGGCUGCCCAUCCCAGGCUGCCCAUCCCAGGCUGCCCAUCAGCCCGGACCAAGACGAAGGGAAGGCAAAGAAAGACGAGGCAAAGCAGAGGAAGGCAAGGGGGCAGGGGCGGCGGGCCCGUCCCUGUCCAGGGUGCUGACCGGACCCGCCGCCUCCAGAGCCGGCCCGCUCUCCUCCUCCUGCCCCUUCCCGUCCCAGAGCGCUGGGGCCACGCUGGCAGGCAGACAAAAGCACUGUGCUUCCCGGAGAGAGCUGAGCAGCGGGGAAAGAAACACACAGUCAGCUACAAAUAAAAUAUAUUUUCACCAUUCCUCUCUCCUGCCAGUAUUUUCAGCAGUGGAGCUGGGCUUUCUCAGAGCAGGGAUGGAUGACCAGCAGUAAAGUGUAUGUGCAUGGCCAGGGAAGGGAAUGAACAUAAGGCACCUCUGGAGCUGCACUUCUGAUCUGUCUGGAAAUGUCAUUCUAUGGAUUGGAUAUCCCCUCCGUGAAGGACAGCCCUCACUGCUCCUUGAACUAGCCUGUGCUGCCCUGGAUGUGUCUGGGUGCCCUCUGUCUCUUUUGCUGCUGGAUCCCAGGCUGUCAGAGAUAGAGAUGGGAGGAUGAACUCACAGCUAUCCCACCUGCCCCUGAUCCAUCCAGAUUAUAUUGGAUGGAAUUGGCAGUCACAAAAGCAUGGUGUCUGUUGGGCCAUGUUUGCCACCAGGGAGCUUUUUGUGGGAAGGUUUCACUCCAUGGCCUUGAUGCUUACAAAAGGCUUAGUCUUGAAAAGAGGUCUUAAAACCACAGUCCACCCACCGGUGGACAGCUGCUCUGUCCACACAGCAGCUUGAGCUGUGACUAUUGACUGCCAAGUCAUUUCGAAAGAUGAAAGGUCUGGAAUGGAGCUUGGCCUCCUCUGCCCUCAGCUCCAGGAUGCGUCUCUGCCUCUUCCCAAACACAUCCUGGCCUCACCAGGCCGUUUUUGUUCCAGAGAAUUGCAAAUCAGCUGCCCCACAGAGGAAAAAGCAGUGCCCAGGACCCUGACAGAGCUGCUCAAUGGGUAUCUACAAAUGGUGUUGGCACAGCACUGCAGAACAAAUCCGUCUUUUCAAAAUCAACCAGGUAUCAGUGCUUUACUAUCAGAAACUGGGUUUUCAAUUCCAGCGCUGAUAGUCUGGACAGAACAAUGUGUUUUAAGAGUCAGUUGGACAAAUCUGCUGGGAGGGGUAUAAAGCGGCUGGCCCUGCUGCAGGAUUAGAUAACCUCCUGAUAGCUGAAUAACAGCACCUCUCUAACUCUCUGUGAUUUGAAUAUGAGACCAAGCCAGAGUGCAGUUUCCAGUCACACAGAUUGUUGUGCUACCAGACUAACAACAACAUAAACACUGUUUUCCAACACUGAAAUCUUGCUUAUAGGUCAUGUGUAGCGGGAACUUGAUAUGGCACAAACAUGAUUCAUGCCAUGUCCAUGUAACAGCAAGCAUGACUCUAUAAGCACCUUUCUCCAGGCCACCAUAAGAGGCAAAAUGACCUCCAGGGAUGCAGAUGCAGGGUAUCAGCCUGGUCCCAAGUCUCCUGACAACCAAGCAAAUCAGAGAGCUUGUAAUCAACUGGGCCCACAUUACAUGAAGAUGUGCUGCCUGUCAGAAACCAGCCCCAUCUUUUGGGAUGACUGAAGCCAGGAAAAUAAACCAGGAAGAAUUAAAACAGAACAGCACAGUCCAGAUUAGCUAGGAUAAAUUACCUGCCUUGUGGCAUCUCCCCCAGCUCUGCUCUCCUUGGCUGUCCUGUGCCUAGCAGCUUGCUGACUGAGUAGCCAUCCCUCUCUGGUGGGCCAGUGCCACAUGUUUAAGUUGGAACAUUAUUCUCCAGUUCUAGGAAAUUGGAUUAAGGUUCAGACAAUACUGACUGUUAUUUACCUUUGAUUAAAACCAGCCCUCCUCCCUCCCAGGCCAGAGAGACCAAUGUUGCUGUUAUUUACUCUGCUGCCAAACCUGGAGUUCAAUCCCUGCCCUGCGGCACUCAAUAAAAGUCAGAGCAGAGGUGGGGGUGUGUAGCAGGCAGGGCUGAGUGGGUGGAAGAGGAGUGAUUAUCCAGGCCACUAUGUCCACUUUGCAGUCAGACUCUGGCUCAGCAAGGACUGGGGUGCUCAUAUUGCCUGCCUAUGUGGCUCAUAGGGCUGAGGAAUGCAGCCAGGGUGAUCCCAAGCAAGCCCUGUUUGCCCCCAAGCCUGACUCUGGUCCUCUCCCCUCAACAAAUCCUCACUUCCACACAGCUUUCCUUUUUGUGUCCUCCUUUCUCUCUUUUCCUUCAGCCUCCCCUCUCUGCCAUGACCUCCCUGCCUCCCCUUUCUGCCUUUUCCUCUCUUCUGCUCCCACUCCUUCCCUUCCUCUUCCUCCCAGUCCCCUUCUCAUUCCUCGCAUUCCCCUCCUUCCCUCUCCCCCACUCUCCAAGCCGCUAUUCCAGGACAAUAGAGCAGAUGGCAGGCUGUUUGUUUUAUAUGUCCCUUUGGAAAAUCAGCUCAGCUGUUGAAUCUGCGACUUUUGCUAAAAACAGACACCGUCCAAUACAGCUGAAUGCCAGGGAGAAAGGAGAGGGUGUGGGGGGGCCCUGCUCUCCCUGCCAGCUGCACCGAGACUCUGUCUGCCUGCACCCCACACCAUGCCUCUGGGAAACAAGCCUGUCAGAGAGCCCAGAGAGGAGCUUCUCCCCUGCAGAAAAAACACUGUGGCAAGCAGAGAGCUUGGCCAGCUUCUACAGUCAGCCUCACUCCAGCCAAAACUGAUGGUGAUGUGGGAAAGGUGGGGUAGUGUGGAAGGGGCAGACUCUUGUCAGCACAUCCAUCCUGCUCGUUGCCCCAGCCUGCUGCUUCUCCCAGUGCUCAUGGAAGCUGAGUUACCUGGGGUAUGCUCAGGCAGAAGAUGUAGCACAGAGUAGAAGCUGAUGCUCUCUGCCAACCCCAUAGCUCCUCCUAUGCUAUUGGGAGAGCCAUGAGAGAGAAACCACCAGCAACAAGGUGGUUGGAGAGGGGAAGAGUUCUUACCUUUUUCCUUCUGACUUUCCCCUCUCUUUUCUGAGCCCUAAAACCCAUCAGACCACUAUUCAUUAUUUGCCAGCACAGCCAUGAAGAGGAUGUGAAAUUUUUUCUCUGGUUCUUUCUCUUAUCCAAACCACUUGCUUUAUCCCUCACCUCUCAUGUGCUUAUACCACAUGAGCUUAUACCAAAAACCUUUCAGAUCUUCAUGGUAUUUCUGGGUGGAAAGGAAACUCUUCUCCUGAACUCUGCCCCUCCCUGGCCCAAAAAGCACCUUCUUCUCCCUGCUUAGACAUAACAAUACUGCCUCAUCGGUCCUGUAAGCCCUCUCUUCCUUCCUCACUCUGUCUCUGUUUGUAAGUAAUUCAGAGAAGGCACCCUGUCCAGCACCAAGUACAAGCUUGCCUUGGCUCAGAACCAGGGCUGCUGGAUUCUUUGCCAGUGCAAUUGCUGGAUAUUUCAUGGCAUAUCCUCCAUCUGAUACAACGUGGCCAAAGGCACCAGCUGCAGACUCCCUCUGUGCCCCACUUCUGGGGGUGGAAUGGGGAAAGCAGAGUUUCAGAAUAGCAGCAUCUCUCCCCAUCCAAAUGCCCUGUUUCAUCGCACUUCUUCUCCCUACACGGCUAAAAUCAACAACACUGUCUUGUUUUCAAGCAGUGGCAAAAGGGUCAGGACCAGCAAAUCCUGUUAAAUUUGUUCUUAGAGUUCACUAUGGAUCAGAUGCAGCUCCCAACAAAACCAAGAGAGGCUUAACCGAGGCACAGUCAGCUGUAAAGUCAGAAGAGGCUCCUUAGCCUUGCAAAAUCCUGGAAGGCAAUUUAAACACAAGAGAUAGGCAAGGAGCCCAUUCUUGGGGUCUGUAAUUAAUCACUUACAGUUCAAACAGGGAGAGAGAUAAGUUCCCUGCUUUCUUGGAGUUCAAGAUGGAUCAAACAGGAAGGGAAAAAAAUCUCAGGCUGUCAAGGAACAGCCUUAAGAGGCAAUGCCAUUUGAGUUACUACAGCUCAGUUCUGCACUCCUUUAACCUCCCAGGUAUUUAUGCAGAAAGUCUACAGGAAAAAUUCCUGCACCAGCUGGUGAGAACAGACACAGUUACUUAACAUUUAUGAUGCUGCUCUUCUUCCUGGCCUUGCUUAUGCCUAUGGCAACAUUUGCAUCCUCUUCAAUGAAGCCACAUGAUGAGCACUAUUUGGCAGGGGAGAAAGCUCCAGUUAGUCUGAGAUUCCAUCUCGGGCACCAACUGCUAGCAGGUUCCUCGAGGAAAAACAUAAGGAUGGUCCAAGCCUCCCUGUGACCAUGCACUCACUGAAUAGAGUAGUCACCCACCCUCCUUCAGCUUUGCAUCCAUCCCAGAAGUGUGCAGAGCCAGCUGUCAAGUCAGGUUUUUCAGAGACUGAAGACAAAACAAAUAUAACAAAUUAAUCAAAAGAGCUGCUGAUCCCACUCUGGACUGUCUGAAAAGACUGCAUUGUAAGCAAGGGCAGAAGAAGUAAAUUAAGAAGCUAAAUCUGUUGUAAGCAAGUGAUUGUAACACUGACAAAAAGCCACUGACUUAUCUGGAGUGUUAUUAAAAAAAUAAGAGGUUCAGGGCCAACCAAACUGGUCUCCCCUCUUCCAAGGUGGACUCUGUCUCACAGGCUGGCAUCCUCAGUGGCACUGGGGAGCUGCAGGUGCCCUGAUCACAAAAAAAAAAAAUCCAGACCUGGGGGGCCAGGCAGCAUCCCAUUUCCUGCUCCUGCAAACAGCACUUUCAAUGCACUGCUAAAACUCCCACACUCCUCCAAGGCCUUCCUUGGUGGUUUCUUUCCUUCCAGUCUCCUUUCUUCCUGUUCCUAUUUCUCAUCCUUUGACUUCUGUCUGACAAACUGCUCACCUUUUGAAGGCUGCUUCCUUAGCAAGAAGCCUGGGGAGAGAGCUGAAGGCUGCAGUCCAGGUACAAGUUGGGCAAAUCCCACAGUGGCUCAGGAAUCUGUUUUUCUUUGGCAGCAGAGCUGUUAAGAGGAGUUGGCACCAGAGACAGAACCAUUGUCUAGUGUUGCUAUUCUUCUCUCUCCCCUUCAAGUCUUUAGCAACAACUGCAUUUUCCCACCUAUUUCGACUAACUUCUUUUCCCCUAAAGAAAGGAUAGUCAUUAGCAUUUUUUUUUGCACUGUCAAAUAGGGCUUUUCUUAUAAAAAUUCUUCACGCUAUGGGGAAAGUGAAGAAAAGAUAUUGUUAACAUGAAAGCCUUACUUAAUAUUUUACAUUUCAAAUACUGUAACUGCUUUUUUUCCCCCUCCUUCUCCUUUUUCUGAAUUUUCAGUAUACAGUUUAAACAUCAUUAAUAGUGUUGGUUGCUAUGGUGUUGGGCAGGCAGAGGUGUUUGUACUUGAAACCUUGAACUACACUUAAUGUUGUACAACAGCAGGGUUAUGCCAACACCCUUGACUUUGACCUCGUUUUUCCCAGUAAAACAUAAAGACCAUGUCUCCAUUCCUUUUUGCUCUUGGGAGAGGUUUUUUUUUUCCCCUGAAAUGAGAAAAAGAAAUGUGAGCUAGAGAAAGAUAGAGAUAUUUAAAAAAAAAAAAAAAA